AUUGAACGCUGGCGGCAGGCCUAACACAUGCAAGUCGAGCGGAUGAAGGGAGCUUGCUCCUGGAUUCAGCGGCGGACGGGUGAGUAAUGCCUAGGAAUCUGCCUGGUAGUGGGGGAUAACGUCCGGAAACGGGCGCUAAUACCGCAUACGUCCUGAGGGAGAAAGUGGGGGAUCUUCGGACCUCACGCUAUCAGAUGAGCCUAGGUCGGAUUAGCUAGUUGGUGGGGUAAAGGCCUACCAAGGCGACGAUCCGUAGCUGGUCUGAGAGGAUGAUCAGUCACACGGGAACUGAGACACGGUCCAGACUCCUACGGGAGGCAGCAGUGGGGAAUUUUGGACAAUGGGCGAAAGCCUGAUCCCGCCAUGCCGCGUGGGGGAAGAAGGUCUUGGGAUUGUAAAGCACUUUAAGUUGGGGGGAAGGGCAGUAAGUUAAUACCUUGCUUUUUUGACGUUACCAACAGAAUAAACACCGGCUAACUUCGU
rnacentral:rRNA from 1 species